GAGCCAGUUUAUCAAUCUGGAUGGUGCCUCUCAAGGGCUGGGGCUGCAAAACAUCUCAGAGUUUGACUCUUUGCUUCGACACUACCGUCUGCAAGUUCUUGUGCUAGCCGCUGUGGGAAAGACACAGCUGAGUCAGACAUGAUCCCUGCCCUCAAGGAGCUUGUGACACCACAGUGAAGACAAGUCUAUUUUGGCCAUGUGAAGUGCAUCCAGGAGGGCUGUCUAGAGCAAGGGGGAACUUUGAGUGCAGAGAGGAUGUGGAGCUCUAAGGAGGAACCUACAGGCUGUCCCUGUCUUUCAGCAAAUUGCAUCCAGUCUGAGCUUCACUUUGCAACCCUGAUUAGAAACCAGUUUGAUCACACUGGGUCUUUCAACCGUUUGUCUGUGGCUAGAGUUCAUAACUUCAUCUUUGUUAAGAGCCCACUACCUAGAACAUUUAUUUAAUGUUAGAGCUCAAAACACCCUACCUCCCCUCUCC
rnacentral:lncRNA from 10 species